AAUGUGCUUCUGUCCAUCAUCUGGGUCAUAUAUAGUUCAAUGCGAGCUGAGCAGACAGGGCUGCAAGGAAAUCUGGCGCGGUUCAAUACCUCGUCUAGCCUGGGUUCCAGUAUCUAAUUUUUUUUACUGACAAACUCAUUUCUCUACCGGGACAGGAUGCUGUGCUGGCUGGAAGUUCCAUUUCUACAGCAAGAAUCCUAUCUGGAAACACAGAAGUUGUCCUCUAAGCCACAGCAGCUCGAACUUUUUUGAUUGUUGUUGCUGCUUUCUCCCAUCACCCCCACCCCCUUUUGACAAAGAUCCAACUGUAAAAAGUCUUACGUAACAGUUCAGGACUACUUCGGUUCUUUUACUGGUAUAUCAAGAGGCCUCAAGAGGACUGUGACAACAUUUACAUCUCCAAGUUAAAGCAAUGUGGGUUCCAAAAUAUUUCGUAGUACCUCUGGAAAAGGAAAGAAAAGGAGCUUCCUACUAUUAUUACAGGCAAACAAGAAGAGGAUGUUUACUUGUUUGACUUAGAUCUCACUGAAGGUCCUGCCUCCAGAUAUACAACAGAAUUGCAAACUCAAAUGCCUACAGAAGAUAGGAAGGAAACACAAGUGGAUGAAGGAGGCCAUGUGGGUUUGUGACAAUCCUGAGAGUGCAUGUUCAUUUCAAGACAGCAGUCACUACUCUGUUCCGGCCAACAGACGCCAUGUAGAAAUCCAGGCCCAGUGCUGGACCAUUCAACUUAUCAAGGCCAAAAACCCAAGUAUUUAUGGAACUCCUGCGGGUUUUAAAUGUUGACAACUAACAUGCUUUUAUUUAAACAACUUAAUUAGUCAGGCAAAUUAUGUCCAUAGGCCAGACUACAUUUAGUACAUGGAAUUCUGUGCUAAGGUGAAAAAGACAUAGCACUAUUUUCACUUUGAUUCUUAUUAUUCAUGCAGUUUAUCCUUUCCUAUGCUUACCAACAGAGGAUGCAUUUAUUCAAUUUUGGUUCAUACUGUCAGCACCCUUCAAAGAAAGAUGAUUAUCUCUUCCUACAGAUUCCCAUCUACAAGAAAUACUGGAACCUCCCCCUUCAAAAGAUAUGUAACUUCAGGUAUAAAAGCCAAAAAGCUGUCUUAACUGACUAGUGUACUCAGAAAAUGCUGAUGAAGACUCAUUUGGGACUGAGUUGCUAUCCUCUCCUUAAUAUACCUAGAGAACCACAAGAUUUUUAGAGAAAAUAUCAAUUUGUAAAACUAUGUAUAACUUUAAAGAAGGUGGUUUUAAUAAUCCAGGGUUUCCUUCCACUACCUGAUACAUUUGCCUAAUACAGUAAAUAUUCCCUUUAGUGAGAUAUCAAAAGAAGAAUUCCCACACAUCCCCUUUGUCAUCACAUACUGAAUUUAAACAACCACUUAAACUUUUAAAAAAUGAAAUAAAACACAGGUUUAUAUGAAUCUUUCUCUACUCUGAAAAUGUUACUGCAAUACCGCUCCUAUAGAAAUAAUUUCAGCAACCUACUUUCAGAGUUUCUUCUCAUUUCUUCUUAGUCAUCCAUUACAAAUCUCCAGACCCAGAUGUUCAAGCAUUCCCUGAACCCACCACAGAUAAUAGCAGAGAUCCAUGACUAUCCACGAACCCAACAACAGCCUUUGAAUGCAACUAUCUUUUCAUCAACUGUAAACAAGUCCUAAACUCUUGGCUCCAUAGGAAGUCCCAACCAAGUCAGUAUAAACUCUGAAACAGGGGCAGAGGUCAAGGGGAUGAGAGCUCAGCCUAAACUCUGGAUCUCAUCCCACCCCCACCCUGUUCAAAAGAAACCUUAUCAGAAGGGAACUCCCCAGUAAAAGGCCACAUUCAGGAGACGUGAUCUUGCAGUGAUCUAGCAGAUUCAGCUGAGGCUUUGGAAGCAAGGCUCUUACAACUGUUAUGAAUGUGAAAUACCAAAAUCACAAACAGAAUGGGGAAAAAUCAAGGGAGAUUUGUGAACUUAUUACCUUCAUUUGUUUCAGGAAAGAACCAGUCUGAUAAUAAAUAGUGGAAUAACCUUGAAGCUGAACCACAGGAGAAAUCUCUUUGGGAACCUAUUUCACAGUGAAUUACUCUACUUUAUGUCCAAAAUCAUUCUAACAUAUGCAAAAGAGCCCAAAUGACACUUUAAAAUAGUCUUUAUUCUGUACACAAAGAGCCCCGUUAUAUAUGUUACAAAUCAUUACACUGCCUUAAACUCUUCCAUUAGCAAGUCUUAGAGACAGGACAGAAGAUUUGGAAAACUGCAGCUCUCAAGUCUCAGAUACUUCACUAUGUACUUUGGGGUGAGUCAUUUAACCUCUCUAGGCCUCAGCAUUCUCAUCUGUAGGAUAGAGAUAGUAUCUUUUCAAAUAGGUUUUAUGAGUGCUUAAUGAAAAAUGCACAUGGAAAAUUUUGUGUGUAAUAAAAUUUAGCCAUUAUUUAUUAUUAUUAUUAUUAUUAUUAUUAUUAUUAUUAUUAUUAUUAUUAUUAUUAUUAUUAUUAUUAUUAUUUAGUAAAGCCACAUAUCAUCAAGUUUUGUGUCUGUGUGUCUGCCUUCCUGACUAAAUCAGAGUCCCUAGCGGGCGGGAACUGUGUCUUAGCUUGGUGCACACAUCAAAAAGAAAAAGAGAAGCAGGGAAGGAAGGAAACAAUGGAAGUAGGUAUUACAAAGUCAAACUUGAGUUUAGAUAAUUUUAUAUGAUAUAAGCCUUCUCAUUCCCACUGAAUAUGUUCAAAGUGCCUGGCACAUAAGGAAUACACAAUAAAUGUUCACUUUCUUUCGUUUUUCUCUAACACUCAGCUUUAGAUCAUUCUCUGCAGACCACACCUAGGUUUAUAUGAACUGUUUUCUGAGAUCAAAAAUUGUGACAGAUAGUUUGACAACAAGGAACAGACCCAUCGGACAUAGAAAAGAAUACUGGAAUUUUGGAAUGUACCUAUGAGUACUCUAGCUAAGAUGUGCAUUUCUCGUUUGUAGCUGGAAGAAUCCACAAAAAGUCUACCUGGGAUCCCAAAACACAUAACAGAUGAAUGCAAAGCCAGAGCAAAUUAGUGGUGUUAGGCUUAUUCUGAGAAGCUGUUUUUUUAUCUUGCCUGUUCAUAUCACCAUCACUCAGGAACCUCUGCUUGGUGGGCAUCUUGUGGCAAGAGAGGGCAAAGAGUAAUUUAACUUUGAAGUCUUUUUUAAAAUGCUCAUUUAUCUAGGGCCUAGAUUAGUAGAAAAAAUACAUACAUAAUGUAUGUAUU